rnacentral:rRNA from 1 species
GACUACUGGGGUAUCUAAGCCUGUUCGCUCCCCACGCUUUCGUGCCUCAGCGUCAAUAUAGGUCCAGUCAGCUGCCUUCGCAAUCGGUGUUCCAUGACAUAUCUAAGCAUUUCACCGCUACAUGUCACAUUCCGCCAACCUCAACCUCAUUCAAGCUCUGCAGUAUCAAUGGCAAUUCCAUGGUUAAGCCACAGCCUUUCACCACUGACUUACUAAGCCGCCUACGCACCCUUUAAACCCAGUGAUUCCGGAUAACGCUUGCACCCUCCGUAUUACCGCGGCUGCUGGCACGGAGUUAGCCGGUGCUUAUUCUUCUGGUACCGUCAGUUCUCGAUAAAUCGAGCUUUUUCGCCCCAGACAAAAGAAGUUUACAAGGCAGAGCCCCUUCAUCCUUCACGCGGGAUGGCUGGUUCAGAGUUUCCUCCAUUGACCAAUAUUCCUUACUGCAGCCCCCCGUAGG